rnacentral:lncRNA from 1 species
GGGUGGCCUCAAUGAUAGGAUUGAUGACAUUUAUGGUCAUCUAGACAGUCUUGGUGGCCAAGUGACUCCCAUGCAGGCACAGUUGGGCGACGUCUACGGCCGUGUGAACACCAUGACCGGGGAGGUCACGCGUCUGCGUCAACAAGUGUCGUCCUUUGAUGCUCGCUUUGCCCAAUACAACCAGGGCCUCACAGACAACAAUGACUACAUCGCCGACCUGGAGAAGCAGUGGGCCGCUUUCACCUUGCAGAAUCAAGACCAGUUCCGGCACCCCUCGGGCCCCCUCCGGGCCCCUACUGAGCUACCCUUUACCCAC